UUUCCGUAGGUGAACCUGCGGAAGGAUCAUUACCGAUCUAAUGCCCCUCCGCUCUGAUCUGGCGUCUUCUGUACCCCCCUCUUUUUAUUACCCCGCUGUUCCUCUAGCAAGUCUCCCCUCCUGGUACUCGCUCCGGCCAGCUCGCAUCUGCCAGAGGUCCUAAACUCUGCUUGGUUAUGUAGUCUGAAUACUAAAUUAUAGUUAAAACUUUCCACAACGAAUCCCUUGGUGCUGGCCUCGAUGAAUAACGCGCGAGCACCGCAGAGCACACGUCCACAC
rnacentral:misc_RNA from 1 species